rnacentral:rRNA from 1 species
UACGAAGGGAGCUAGCGUUGUUCGGAAUGACUGGGCGUAAAGGGCGUGUAGGCGGUCGUGUGCGUCAGAUGUGAAAUCCCUGGGCUUAACCUAGGAAUGGCAUUUGAUACGGCACGACUAGAGAUGUAUAGAGGGUAGUGGAAUUGCGAGUGUAGAGGUGAAAUUCGUAGAUAUUCGCAGGAACACCAGUGGCGAAGGCGGCUACCUGGGUACAUACUGACGCUGAGGCGCGAAAGCGUGGGGAGCAAACAGG